GCGGCGUGCUUAACACAUGCAAGUCGAACGAUGAACCACUUCGGUGGGGAUUAGUGGCGAACGGGUGAGUAACACGUGGGCAAUCUGCCCUGCACUCUGGGACAAGCCCUGGAAACGGGGUCUAAUACCGGAUAUGACCCUCGCAGGCAUCUGUGAGGGUGUAAAGCUCCGGCGGUGCAGGAUGAGCCCGCGGCCUAUCAGCUUGUUGGUGAGGUAACGGCUCACCAAGGCGACGACGGGUAGCCGGCCUGAGAGGGCGACCGGCCACACUGGGACUGAGACACGGCCCAGACUCCUACGGGAGGCAGCAGUGGGGAAUAUUGCACAAUGGGCGAAAGCCUGAUGCAGCGACGCCGCGUGAGGGAUGACGGCCUUCGGGUUGUAAACCUCUUUCAGCAGGGAAGAAGCGAAAGUGACGGUACCUGCAGAAGAAGCGCCGGCUAACUACGUGCCAGCAGCCGCGGUAAUACGUAGGGCGCAAGCGUUGUCCGGAAUUAUUGGGCGUAAAGAGCUCGUAGGCGGCUUGUCGCGUCGGUUGUGAAAGCCCGGGGCUUAACCCCGGGUCUGCAGUCGAUACGGGCAGGCUAGAGUUCGGUAGGGGAGAUCGGAAUUCCUGGUGUAGCGGUGAAAUGCGCAGAUAUCAGGAGGAACACCGGUGGCGAAGGCGGAUCUCUGGGCCGAUACUGACGCUGAGGAGCGAAAGCGUGGGGAGCGAACAGGAUUAGAUACCCUGGUAGUCCACGCCGUAAACGGUGGGCACUAGGUGUGGGCGACAUUCCACGUCGUCCGUGCCGCAGCUAACGCAUUAAGUGCCC
rnacentral:rRNA from 1 species